GUGGUAGCUGCGGGGGGACUGCACCUUGGCUGCAGGGGAGGGAGGCGUGCAGCGCACUGGCGGAGUAGCCUGCCUCCCAGACCUUCCCUUUUUAAGCUUCGAGCUAGUUCGUUUCUUCAGACAUCAGCGGACCAUGCCUACCAGAGUACACUCCUUAGGGAUAAUUCACUUUCCUCAUUUUGCCCGCGUUAUAAACUCCUGGCCACCACCUACGGGGGCGGGGGCGGAUCUGCCUAGGCGUGGAAGUCGGAUGCUUGGUCCUGAGGGCUUGAACUUUUAAGAGUCAUUCUCGUACCCAGGAGCACUCAAGUUAACUGUGGCGACUGGUUUUGUUUUUUUCUAAGCUUAACCCAAACUUAAUCUCAAAGCGAUGCUACUUUUGCUCCCUAUUUGGGGGAGAUGCUAGGAAGGCGCAUUGGAUCAAAUUUGGAAGGAAAUAAGGGUGUUACCGAAGCAGCCAUAUCUAGAUGGUAUUUCAGAAUCUGCCUUUUGAGUUACUUCAUCUGUGCACCUGGCAGACCUUCCACAGGGCUAAAUUAGGAGAAAAGCGCGCGGAAACGCGGUUGGACUGGCAGUGAGUGAAUCCGGGUCCACAAACAGAAUACCCUCUUCCAGCGAAGAGAGAAGAAGCUGCCACGAAUUUGGCUUGUGCUGGAUGGCACUGUUCGUUUUUAGGGCUGUGCCAAGGCCCCCCCUUUCUCCUCUCUUCCACCUCCCGGCAACACCUAAGCUCUCCAGCAGCCCUGCCUUCCUACCGGUAUGAUCGCAAACCCAACGGGUCAAGGCCUGCCUCACACGCCUCCUCGGCGAUCUGCUCCCACCCCCACCUCUGAACGUCAGACCUCCCAAUGCAUUCUUGGGACCCCUGUCCACAUACGCACUCUCCUGGAGCUGCUGUGGACCAAAGUAAGGCAGCUAAACUGGUUAGCUCUCACACAGCAACCCCUGUCCUGGUCUUUUCGAGGCUUAGAUAGACUCUAGGCUGAGCCGGGGUUAGAAAGGGGCCCUCCCACCUCUGGGGCGGACUCUGGACUCGGCAUCCCGAUCUUCCUCCGGACCCGACACUUCCUAGAACAAGUCGACUAGUAUCAAGAAUUCUGGCACUCCUGGGCGUGCCAAGUGCGGCGGAGCGCCGGAUCCUCUAUUGCCCCGACUCAAAGCGGGUGCCCAAAAGAAGGGACCAUCGGUCCCCACGCUCUUCACCCCCAACUGUUCCAGAACUAGCUGCUACCGCCCUGGACUCAAGCGCUCCUCUCAGGAGCCUAUAGUCGCCCAGGUCCGCGGGAGGCUCACACUUGGCUCAGCUGGGCUACUUUACAUGCAAAGCAGAGGGGCCCGGGAGGGGGCAACUAAGAAAUUGCUGUCGCGGGGACCUGUAGGGUGCCACUGGACUUGGCUGCCUUCCCUUUCCGACUUUCACCUUCCUUCGGUAGGUCGGGGAGAGGUUGUUUUACUGAUUUGGGGGUGUAACGACUUUGAGACCUAGGUAUGGGAGAAGGGACCUCUUUUAGAGGACGGGGUUGGGCGAAGACAGGACGCUGGUUCUAGGGCAUCGUGUCCUGCAUGUCUCGGUGUCCAAAUGGUGAAGAAAACCGGUCGCCGAGCCAAUCCCAGCUUCUGGGGUGUGUGUAUGUCAACGAGCGAGGGCAAUGCCAGGCAUGUCUCUUGGCUCCUUGAUUCUCUGUCUAAAAUCCAUAUUUAACACUUCCGCGGUGACAGCACACAGGACUAACGUUUCUCUCCCCCACCCCAUUUCCAUUGAGCUCUUAUUUUGAAAUGGAAUCAGUAGUGGAGACAAGGAGAGAAAACUGACCCAGCAUUCUAAAUGCGCCAUCUCUGGAUCCACAGAGCUCAGCUCUACGUGUGUAUCUAUGACCUCUGAAGAAGAUUCCCAACCGUCCUUCCUCACCUACACCACCACGCAGUCCACGAUCUCAAGUACACCCAUUUUACUACCCUCCAUUCUUCAAAGUCACAUAGACCCUCAGCCACUUAUACCCCGGCGGGUGUCCUGAGAUGCAAUUUGGACGCCUGGCCAUCAUUCAGCGAUCACAAAAUCCCCAUAGGGAAAGGCCCUAGAGGACCCAGAUAGGGGCUUCCACAGUCCAGUUUUGUCUUCCCAGAGGAUUCUCAAAAAUCAGCUCAAAAUAUGGGAGAGAUCCUGUCUCGGAACUGGGGCUGGCCAGCCUUUCCCCGCUCACACACCACUAAUCUCCCUUGCCUCCUGGGUCCAGAGCCCUUGAACCCAUGUUCUCCACACCCCCUACGCAGUCGGGAGUGUUUCCCACCAACCAGGGACCGUGCUUUCUUAGUCACUGUGGGUCGCUACUUAAUUGCCAGAGCAGCCGCUUCCAUCCUCCAGUUCAGACCACGGUCCGCAUUAAAAGGGGAGAGAGGGCCCGCCCCAGUAGGCUCCUAGGACUGCCAACCACAAAACCCCGUAUAUCCAGUAGCAUAGGUACAGGGAGGCAGGAAGGGGUCAGCUAGAUGCACCCUGGAUCCCUGCCAUCUGGAAGACACACAGACUCGGCACAGACCUGUGAAGAUCCGGCUUAUGCAACCAAGGAACUGCUCAGCUGGAGUCUCUCUGAUCCAGUCCCCCGCCUCUUUCCCUUCCCCUCUCUCGAGGUUCACGCUCUUAAUAGGCGGUACUUUCUAGUUUAUAUCGUUGUCUCUCCUGAACAACGUAAAGGAGGUGCAGGAGAGGGAGACAGAUCGUUCUUCUCUACACUUCCCCAGACAGGAACCCCAAUCCAAGCAAGGGCGCCUGUUCCUAUCCCUGCAUACUGAAGGGAGAAAGGAAAGAACAAGGUGUAGCUGAUUAGCAAGUUAAUUAUUUCAGUACCCCAAGGGUUCAUGCGUGGUGGAGACGGCCAUGGAGGGCCGACUUCUCGACUUCAGCAGCGUGAGGAUGACACAGUACUCACUGGUGCUGCCAUUCUGCUGUCCCCGCUCAGGUUGGCUGCCACCCUUGCUGAUGGAGAGAGGCUGGAGGCUGUCUGAGAAGACAGUGCUGAUGCAGAGGCCUCCUAGCGAAGUGUGAAGGGAUGCCCUCAACCAGGGUUGAAGAAAGGAAGCAAAGAAGGGGAGCCCAAGGAAAGGUGGGGCCAGUUGGGAUUUUUAGGUAACACUCUUCUGGCAUACUUCUCAUGUGUUGUAUGUUAUGAUCGCCGAAUUUCACGUUUAUUGUAGUAGCCUGCCGUGUGUAGGCCAAAUGCUGCUUGGCCAAAACAGUGUUAAAUAAAACUGUAAGAAAUGCUA